UUUAGUAGUCUACAGACUUUACAUAUUGCUUCUUUCAGUUUUAGAUACUAGAUGAUUUAUUUUAUAAUUGUCUUUCAAUGUGUAAAACUGCUAUUGUUUACCACAUGUAACUUUAACAUUAAAAUGAUGUAGCAAUUUCUUGUGCAAUGAAAUAUAAUUAGAAUAGUAUUUAUUGAAAAUACUUUUCAUGAUUUUUUUUGCCUUCGACAUUAUUAGGAUGUUGGUGAUUAUGAACAAACUGAGUCUUAUUGUGUCUCAUAACAGCAACUUUGGAGGGGUUGAUUUAUGUGAUCAAUUUCUCUCAUAUUAUUUGAUGCAGAGAAAAGCUAUGAAGGUGUGAAAGAAAGUGUUUUUUUGUUUUACUAGAACUAUGUUCUUGUCUUGUUCAAGAAUCAAGCGUCAUGAACUGAAUCCAAAAAGCAACGUCCAUCAGACCUUUUUGGAGCAAGUUGCAAAUCUACUAGUGAGUUCACUACAAGAGUAGCUGGGAGCAAGAGAAGGACGUUGCUACCUUUCACCAGAAUAAGGAUUGUCUAGCUGACAUUUUCCAAGGAAAUCUGAAAGGUCAUGAAGGUGUUUUGCUUAUGGAAAUAAAAAGUCAGCUUGUGGACCAGGAAGCUGUUUUCUAAAGUGAAGACAAAGCAAUCGCCACAAGAGAUAUUCAAGAAGAUUCAAAGUGUACUCUGCAAACUUUCUAUAUACAGAUAAACCAUUGUGAGAAGAGGAAUGCUAUUGACGAGUGAUAAUGCAAUGACCAACAUAGAAUAUGGCGGAUUCUCCGUGAUAUUGUAGAAGGAUUAUUUCACGUUCAUUCACAGGUAGAAAAAAAAUGUGAACAAUUUUCGUUUAGCGUAAAACAUUUCCAAAUCACGAACAAUUUUCUACGUGAUUUGGAAAUGCUAUAUAUAAGCUUAGGUACGUAAUAAAUUGGACGGCUGUCUUUAUGCGAUCAAAAGAAUUCCUUUGAAUCAGAAAA